AAAAUAACAAAGGGGAGAUACUAUGAUCAGGAAGGUGGUCCCCCCCACCCUCCAGGUAAAGUUCACCUCUUGUUCUUGGAUUAUGCUAACCUCUGCAAUUUCCUCAAACCCGGGAAACUGCAAAAUUUGUGGUAGUAGGGGACUGUGUUCACUCUCUUCCCUG